GACAGAGGUGCCGAGCGUUAGGCGGAAUCACUGGGCUUAAAGCGUGUGUAGGCGGACUUGUAAGUACCUUGUGAAAAUCCCAUGGCUCAACCAUGGAACUGCUCGGUAUACUGCUUGUCUUGAGCCACUUAGGGAGCAGUCGGAACAGACGGUGAGCGGUGAAAUGCGUAGAUAUCGUCUGGAACGCCAAAAGGUGAAAACAGACUGCUGGGAGUGUGCUGACGCUGAGACACGAAAGCCAGGGGAGCAAACGGGG
rnacentral:rRNA from 1 species